UUAGUACUCCCUCCGUCCGGAAAUACUUGUAAUGGAAUGGAUGUAUCUAGAUAUAUUUCAGUUCUAGAUGCAUAUAUUUUUAUACAUUUGUGCGACAAGUAAUUUCGGACGAAGUAGUACAAA
rnacentral:pre_miRNA from 1 species